CUUCUAUACAGUUCACCGAGAAAUUAGAUGAGGCACUCCGUAUUAUAUGGGCCAAACACUGGUAUGUGUAACAGCAAUCGGAGGAUAUUGUUAUGUCAGCUCCCACCUGGCCAGGAACAUCCACUGCUGUUCUUUGUCCAAUGAUAAGGACCAUAGUGGUGUUGCUCCGGUUGGUGAUGUCACUUCCUGUCUUGGUUCUCCACAGCACAGUGGGCUGAGGGAAGCCCAGGGUGGAGAGGAAGUCACACCUAUAUCUCCACCUGCCUGACAGACAUCCAGAUCUGGAUGGACAGCCACCAUCUAAAGCUCGACCCAGGU